rnacentral:rRNA from 1 species
AUAAGUCUUGACCAAAUUUCGUGCCAGCAGUCGCGGUAAUACGCANAAGACAAGUGUUAUUCAUCUUUAUUAGGUUUAAAGGGUACCUAGACAGUAAAUUAAGCCAUAGUAGGAACUAAUUUUCUAGAGUUUUGUAGGAGAAAGCAGAAUUUUUGUGAGGAGUGAUAAAAUAUUAUUAAACUUAAAGGACGGAUAACGGCGUAGGCAGCUUUCUAUGUAAAACUGACGUUGAGGGACGAAGCUUUGGGUAGCAAUAAGGAUUAGAUACCCCAGAUAGUCCGGAGAGACAAUGAUGAAUGUCAUAGAUUAGAUAAACUAAUUUAUAAAUGAAAGUGUAAGCAUUCCACCUUAAGACUAAAGCGGCAACGCCCAAAAUGAAAUCAUUAGACCGUUCCUGAAACCAGUAGUGAAGUAUGUUAUUUAAUUCGUUGAUCCGCGAAUAACCUUACCAUGUUUUGAAUACUAUUUAUUUAAUACAAGCGUUGCACGGCUGUUUUUAGUUAAUGUCGUGAGACUUGGAUAA